GCCAAUGGUGCAAUGGUGAACACGGUUGUCUCAUGAACAGCGUGCCCGGAGUUCUAGUCCCGGCAGUGGCG